rnacentral:rRNA from 1 species
GUGCCAGCAGCCGCGGUAAUACGUAGGGGGCUAGCGUUAUCCGGAAUUACUGGGCGUAAAGGGUGCGUAGGUGGUUUCUUAAGUCAGAGGUGAAAGGCUACGGCUCAACCGUAGUAAGCCUUUGAAACUGAGAAACUUGAGUGCAGGAGAGGAGAGUAGAAUUCCUAGUGUAGCGGUGAAAUGCGUAGAUAUUAGGAGGAAUACCAGUUGCGAAGGCGGCUCUCUGGACUGUAACUGACACUGAGGCACGAAAGCGUGGGGAGCAAACAGGAUUAGAAACCCCAGUAGUCC